rnacentral:lncRNA from 1 species
UAUUAAAAAAAUUUAGGGAGUGGUUAGUUGCGUGUAAAAUCGUAAAAAAUAGUUUUUCGUAGAAAAAAACUUGGAAAAAAAAAGUUUUUUGUUUUGUAGUGUUUGGUUUAUAGGGGAAAAAAAGUUGUUUUUAUCAAUAUUUUUUUGGUUGAAAGAGAAAAAAUAUUACUUUGUUUGGUUGGGUGGGAAAAAAAAAUGAAUGAAAAAAGUUUUACACGAAUUGAGUUUUCAUUUUUCGUGGAAAAUUGGCGAAAAACGAAAAUGCUUCAUUUUUCUGAAAUCUGUAAAAAUAUAUAAUUUCUUGAAAAAAAAAAUUUACGACUAAACAAACACACGAAAAAUAAUUUGCCAAGGUGAAAAAUA